UGUGGGAGCGGGCUUGCUCGCGAAGGCGUCGUGUCAGUCAGUAUUCAUGUAGCUGACACACAGCUUUCGCGAGCAAGCCCGCUCCCACA
rnacentral:antisense_RNA from 1 species